rnacentral:rRNA from 1 species
CCUACGGGAGGCAGCAGUGGGGAAUAUUGCACAAUGGGGGAAACCCUGAUGCAGCGACGCCGCGUGAAGGAUGAAGUAUUUCGGUAUGUAAACUUUUAUCCGCAAGGGAGAAAAUGACGGUACCUGACUACGAAGCCCCAGCUAACUACGUGCCAGCAGCCGCGGUAAUCCGUAGGGGGCACGCGUUAUUCGGAUUUACUGGGUGUAAAGGGAGCGUAGACGGGAUGGCAAGUCUGAUGUGAAAACCCGGGGCUCAACCCUGGGACGGCAGUGGAAACUGCCGAACUAGAGUGUCGGAGAGGUAAGUGGAAUUCCUAGUGUAGCGGUGAAAUGCGUAGAUAUUGGGAGGAACACCAGUGGCGAAGGCAGCUUGCUGGACGAUGACUGACGUUGAGGCUCGAAAGCGUGGGGAGCAAACAGGAUUAGAUACCCCUGUAGUC